AUGCUUCCGCCAUUACGUAUGAGGGGCCACACCAAGUUCAAAGAGAUGAACUACGACAACCGCUACGAGCCAUAUUACAGGAGAGCCGGGCUCUUGGGUUUCGUGCUCCAGUUCAAGCGUACGCCGCCGACGCUUGUCCACACAGCUCUCACAGCGUUGGUGGACCGUUGGCGGCCCGAGACGCACUCUUUCCAUCUCCCAUGUGGUGAGAUGACGGUGACGCUCGAGGACUUCGCCAUGAUCACGGCCCUACCGAUCAAGGGCCAUGCUCUCAUUGGGUGCGUGGAUAGGAAGAACUGGCCGGACAGGGUUACCGCCCUCAUCGGCGACUGCCCUCCCAUCAAUAGUAACCGAACAUCGGUGUAG
rnacentral:rRNA from 1 species